ACCUGGCUGGCUCAGUCGGUGGAGCAUGGGACUCCUGAUUUCAGGCUCAUGAGUUCAAGCCCAUGUUGGGUG
rnacentral:tRNA from 1 species